UGACGGUACCUGACUAAGAAGCUCCGGCUAAAUACGUGCCAGCAGCCGCGGUAAUACAUAUGGAGCAAGCGUUAUCCGGAUUUACUGGGUGUAAAGGGAGCGCAGACGGUUUGCCAAGUCUGAUGUGAAAGCUAGGGGCUCAACCCCUAAACUGCAUUGGAAACUGGUAGACUAGAGUGUCGGAGAGGUAAGUGGAAUUCCUAGUGUAGCGGUGAAAUGCGUAGAUAUUAGGAGGAACACCAGUGGCGAAGGCGGCUUACUGGACGAUAACUGACGUUGAGGCUCGAAAGCGUGGGGAGCAAACAGGAUUAGAUACCCUG
rnacentral:rRNA from 1 species